rnacentral:rRNA from 1 species
CAGCCGCCACGGUAAUACGUAGGUGGCGAGCGUUGUCCGGAAUCAUUGGGCGUAAAGGGAGCGCAGGCGGGCAUGUAAGUCUUUCUUAAAAGUGCGGGGCUCAACCCCGUGAUGGGAAAGAAACUACAUGUCUUGAGUACAGGAGAGGAAAGCGGAAUUCCCAGUGUAGCGGUGAAAUGCGUAGAUAUUGGGAGGAACACCAGUGGCGAAGGCGGCUUUCUGGACUGCAACUGACGCUGAGGCUCGAAAGCCAGGGGAGCGAACGGGAUUAGAUACCCCCGUAGUCCCUGUCUCUUAUACA